ensembl:lncRNA
AGGGAAGUACUUGGAAAUGAAACAGUUUGACCUGGCUACCCUCUUUACACGGUACGCAGCAGAUAUGAAAACAGCUCUGGGUUUAUCACCGGUCCAGCAAGCUGUCGUCCAAUCAUUCCUGGGGAACGAUGCCAAUGCCAUCGUCUGUCUCCAGGAAGCGGUCGAUAUGUGUCCUUCUCCUCCACACCUCUUUCUUCUCGGGAGGACACUGAUGAGGUAGAACAGGUUCACAGUGAGUCCGAGACUCAUGCAGGGUUUAUCUUAGUCAAGCUCUGUCUGGCAGAACUAAGCCAGCAAAACACCAAACAGACUUCUCCAAAGACACCAACAAAAAUAGGCUGCGGAGGACUUCUAUCUUAUCGGCGUAUGCAACAUGAAACAAAUGCUUUUUUUUACAGACUCUCUCCUCCUCCAGGCUUUGGAUGCUUUCAACAGUGCUGUAAACAUGAACCUAGACCAUGCUUAGGCUCACCAUCAGAGAGGACUAUGUUGCAUCUACAAGCAUCUACAUGCAUCUGCAACACUCCACAGGCGUGCAGGACUUUAACAGAGCACUCAAAAUCAACCCCAACCUCUAUCAGGCUCUCAGAGACUACAGCAUUACGCUGCUCUUGGGCUGUAAAACGGAGCUUGAGUUGAAAGUGUUGAUAAACAGUGGCCUUCUCUAUGUGGAGCUGAAUGACUAUGACAGUGCCCUUCAGCCUCGGCCAGUUACAGGAAGCUGUGGAUACUUACAGCCAAGCUUUAAGACUUGA